rnacentral:lncRNA from 1 species
CUGUGGUUUGCGACCAGGGAAUCACGGAUUUCAGUGAAAGGGUCUGAGACCACAGCCAUAAGCUGUGAAAGCCAAGAGGACAGCUAAGGACUAAGGAAUUGACACUAAGCCCGAAUCUGGCAGAAGAGUCAAGCCCCAAAUCGUGACAUGCACACAGAAAAAAUAUGUGGGCCACUGGCUUAGGAAGACUGCGUUUUCAGGGGAAAUGACCCAUGGGUGAGCGCUGUGGCACAGACUUAAAAGACUAUGACACUUUCUUUUGGCCUCCAUCAUUUCUGAUAAGAAAUUCACUGUCUUUCAAAUUAUUUGCUCUCACAGAAAGGGUCCGGCCUUAUACUUGGGAAGAAGAAAUGUCA